UCUGUUAUUUAGUUAGAGGGGAGUGCUCUGCAGCUCCCACUGUGGGAGGUCCACCCAAAAAUGUGGGGCUGAAAUAGUGCUCGGGCAGUGAUCCCCACCAGUGACCUGGGCCAUCCUUUGGGCUCUCUGGUGAGAACCCUCAGCCGCCUGUCCUCCGUAUCUACCUUGAUUGGCUGAGCAGAGGGUUAUUGACAGGGAAGAGACUCAGGUCUUUGUUGUUCUCUUUUAAGACCAAGUAAAUAAGUCAUAACCAGUCAUAUGUUUGACAAAUUUUGCUGCUUCUCUGCAUUAAUUGUCUCUGAGCAGUUCAUGAUUCUCUCUAACAUUCCAGUUCUCC